rnacentral:misc_RNA from 1 species
GAUCAUUACUGAGUUUACGCUCUACAACCCUUUGUGAACAUACCUAUAACUGUUGCUUCGGCGGGUAGGGUCUCCGUGACCCUCCCGGCCUCCCGCCCCCGGGCGGGUCGGCGCCCGCCGGAGGAUAACCAAACUCUGAUUUAACGACGUUUCUUCUGAGUGGUACAAGCAAAUAAUCAAAACUUUUAACAACGGAUCUCUUGGUUCUGGCAUCGAUGAAGAACGCAGCGAAAUGCGAUAAGUAAUGUGAAUUGCAGAAUUCAGUGAAUCAUCGAAUCUUUGAACGCACAUUGCGCCCGCCAGCAUUCUGGCGGGCAUGCCUGUUCGAGCGUCAUUUCAACCCUCAAGCUCUGCUUGGUGUUGGGGCCCUACAGCCGAUGUAGGCCCUCAAAGGUAGUGGCGGACCCUCCCGGAGCCUCCUUUGCGUAGUAACUUUACGUCUCGCACUGGGAUCCGGAGGGACUCUUGCCGUAAAACCCCCAAUUUUCCAAAGGUUGACCUCGGAUCAGGUAGGAAUACCCGCUGAACUUAAGCAUAUCAAUAAGCGGAGGAAAAGAAACCAACAGGGAUUGCCUCAGUAACGGCGAGUGAAGCGGCAACAGCUCAAAUUUGAAAUCUGGCCCUAGGCCCGAGUUGUAAUUUGCAGAGGAUGCUUUUGGUGCGGUGCCUUCCAAGUUCCCUAGAACGGGACGCCAGAGAGGGUGAGAGCCCCGUACAGUUGGACACCAAGCCUUUGUAAAGCUCCUUCGACGAGUCGAGUAGUUUGGGAAUGCUGCUCAAAAUGGGAGGUAUAUUUCUUCUAAAGCUAAAUACCGGCCAGAGACCGAUAGCGCACAAGUAGAGUGAUCGAAAGAUGAAAAGCACUUUGAAAAGAGGGUUAAACAGCACGUGAAAUUGUUAAAAGGGAAGCGCUUGUGACCAGACUUGCGUCCGGUGAAUCACCCAGCUCUCGCGGCUGGGGCACUUCGCCGGCUCAGGCCAGCAUCAGCUCGCUGUCGGGGACAAAAGCUUCAGGAACGUAGCUCUCUUCGGGGAGUGUUAUAGCCUGUUGCAUAAUACCCUUCGGCGGGCUG